rnacentral:lncRNA from 1 species
CUUAAGUGGAAUGUAUACAUUCCUGAUGGCUAAAAUUCUAAAGAAAAAGUAGGGUGGAGUAAAUCUAAAUUUCAGUUUUUCUGAUUUCAAUCAACUCUCAUCUAAAAUCCCACUUUCUUCAAGUUUUUUUUUCCUUUUCUCCUUCAUGCUAGUGUCUUCCCUCUAACAUUAUCUUGUUUAUCCUAUAUAUAUCUUAUUUGUGCACUGUUAUGUUGUAUUCUUCCAUUAGGUUGCAAGCUUCAUGGGAUAUUAAAAGAGGACUAGCACCUCUGGUGUGAGAGCUUACCAAGCCCUUUCCAGGGAUGCUUAUCCACCUUUGAUGUUCAUCUUUCACUGAACUCUUCACCUGAUGUUCCAAGAAGCUAUAGAAUAAGCAGUGGAUAUACCCUGGAAAAACCAUUUCAGCAAAUGGAGUAAAACAGGUUGAGGGUAACCUACAGGUCUCAAACCUGUUGAUGUCAAUGAGAUCUGAAAUGGAUUAUUUCAAACCGAGGACAACCCUGAAAAUAUGAUUUGGGGAUUCUCCAAACAUAAGGUAUAAAACAUCUGUACAAGGCUGCAGUGUUGAACCCAUUAUUCAGAAUUGCUUUGGCUGUUUUCCAAGCAAGCAAUUCUCCUUUGGCAAAACUAGAAGAUUAUCUACAUAUCAAGGAAAAGAAACAAAAGGCAAAGGGAAGAUUCAAAGGUGAUGGUGGUGGUGGUGAGAUGGUGAUUUAUUUCUCCAGAAAUGAUUUAUGAUACAAAGACUGAUGGACCCUGAGACCGAAGCUCCCCUUCGAUUGCAUCUGUUGGCACUCCAGAACAAAGCAAGUAGUUCCACUUCAUAGGACACUGUUACUUCCCAUGCU